rnacentral:rRNA from 1 species
AUUCCAGCUCCAAUAGCGUAUAUUAAAGUUGUUGCAGUUAAAAAGCUCGUAGUUGAACUUCAGGCCUGGACGGGCGGUCCGCUUAACGGCGUGUCUACUGUCUGGCUGGGCCUUACCUCUUGGUGAGCCGGCGUGCCCUUUGUUGGGUGCGUCGGGGAACCAGGACUUUUACCUUGAGAAAAUUAGAGUGUUCAAAGCAGGCCUAUGCCUGAAUACAUUAGCAUGGAAUAAUAAAAUAGGACGUGCGGUUCUAUUUUGUUGGUUUCUAGAGUCGCCGUAAUGAUUAAUAGGGAUAGUUGGGGGCAUUGGUAUUGAGUCGCUAGAGGUGAAAUUCUUGGAUUGACUCAAGACCAACUAUUGCGAAAGCAUUUGCCAAGGAUGUUUUCAUUA